GCUGUGGCUCAGUGGUAGAGUGCUUGCCUAGCAUGUGUGAGGCACUGGGUUUGAUUCUCAGCACG
rnacentral:tRNA from 1 species